rnacentral:lncRNA from 1 species
CUCAGCCUAAAGCUUGAGCUCUCCACCAGUUCAUUAUUCAUCCCAUGACUUCCCUUGACUGUUGUUAGUGAAGACUUGUUUCUAGAAAACGAUUCUUAUUACCUGCUCUGACGUAGAUCACCAACAAAUGACCAGGUUGCCUUGAGUCUUCCAUCAGCAGAAAAUCAUAAGAGGAAAAGAACAAGACUUAUGGCCUCC